rnacentral:rRNA from 1 species
ACAGGAAUUUGCUUAUUGCACACAUGUGUUUUUCUUUGAAACAAACUUGCUUUGGCGGUGGGCCCAGCCUGCCGCCAGAGGUCUAAACUUACAACCAAUUUUUUAUCAACUUGUCACACCAGAUUAUUACUAAUAGUCAAAACUUUCAACAACGGAUCUCUUGGUUCUCGCAUCGAUGAAGAACGCAGCGAAAUGCGAUACGUAAUAUGAAUUGCAGAUAUUCGUGAAUCAUCGAAUCUUUGAACGCACAUUGCGCCCUCUGGUAUUCCGGAGGGCAUGCCUGUUUGAGCGUCGUUUCUCCCUCAAACCGCUGGGUUUGGUGUUGAGCAAUACGACUUGGGUUUGCUUGAAAGACGGUAGUGGUAAGGCGGGAUCGCUUUGACAAUGGCUUAGGUCUAACCAAAAACAUUGCUUGCGGCGGUAACGUCUACCACGUAUAUCUUCAAACUUUGACCUCAAAUCAGGUAGGACUACCCGCUGAACUUAAGCAUAUCAAUAAGUCGGAGGAA